rnacentral:rRNA from 1 species
GAUGAACGCUAGCGGCAGGCUUAAUACAUGCAAGUCGAGGGGCAGCGGGUGUAGCAAUACAUGCCGGCGACCGGCGCACGGGUGCGUAACGCGUAUGCAACCUACCUUUAACUGGAGGAUAGCCCCGAGAAAUCGGGAUUAAUACUCCAUAACAUUGCGAAAAGACAUCUUUUUGCAAUUAAAGCUCAGGCGGUUUUAGAUGGGCAUGCGUGACAUUUAGCUAGUUGGUGAGGUAACGGCUCACCAAGGCUUCGAUGUCUAGGGGUUCUGAGAGGAUUACCCCCACACUGGUACUGAGACACGGACCAGACUCCUACGGGAGGCAG